rnacentral:rRNA from 1 species
AUUGAACGCUGGCGGCAUGCUUUACACAUGCAAGUCGAACGGCAGCGCGGGCUUCGGCCUGGCGGCGAGUGGCGAACGGGUGAGUAAUGCAUCGGAACGUGCCCAGUAGUGGGGGAUAGCCCGGCGAAAGCCGGAUUAAUACCGCAUACGACCUGAGGGUGAAAGCGGGGGACCGAAAGGCCUCGCGCUAUUGGAGCGGCCGAUGUCGGAUUAGCUAGUUGGUGGGGUAAAGGCUUACCAAGGCGACGAUCCGUAGCUGGUCUGAGAGGACGACCAGCCACACUGGGACUGAGACACGGCCCAGACUCCUACGGGAGGCAGCAGUGGGGAAUUUUGGACAAUGGGGGCAACCCUGAUCCAGCAAUGCCGCGGGCGGGAAGAAGGCCUUCGGGUUGUAAACCGCUUUUGUUCGGGAAGAAAUCCUCUGGGCUAAUACCCCGGGGGGAGGACGGUACCGGAAGAAUAAGCACCGGCUAACUACGU